rnacentral:rRNA from 1 species
CCCCUAGUAACUGCGAGUGAAGCGGGAAGAGCUCAAAUUUAAAAUCUGGCGGUCCUUUGGCCGUCCGAGUUGUAUUCUGGAGAAGUGCUUUCCGCGCUGGACCGUGUAUAAGUCUCUUGGAACAGAGCGUCAUAGAGGGUGAGAAUCCCGUCAAAGACACGGACUACCAGUGCUUUGUGAUGCGCUCUCAAAGAGUCGAGUUGUUUGGGAAUGCAGCUCAAAAUGGGUGGUA